rnacentral:rRNA from 1 species
CAGCAGCCGCGGGAACACGUAGGGUGCGAGCGUUAAUCGGAAUUACUGGGCGUAAAGCGUGCGCAGGCGGUUCGUUAAGACAGAUGUGAAAUCCCCGGGCUUAACCUGGGAACUGCAUUUGUGACUGGCGAGCUAGAGUAUGGCAGAGGGGGGUAGAAUUCCACGUGUAGCAGUGAAAUGCGUAGAGAUGUGGAGGAAUACCGAUGGCGAAGGCAGCCCCCUGGGCCAAUACUGACGCUCAUGCACGAAAGCGUGGGGAGCAAACAGGAUUAGAUACCCGAGUAGUCCCUGUCUCUUAUAC